rnacentral:tRNA from 1 species
UCCCUGAUAGCUCAGUUGGUAAAGAAUCUGCCUGCAAUGCAGGAGACCUGGGUUGGAACCCUGGGUUGGGAA